UACGUAGGGUGCGAGCGUUGCCCGGAUUUAUUGGGCGUAAAGAGCUCGUAGGUGGUUCGGUAAGUCAGGUGUGAAACCUCCAGGCUCAACCUGGAGACGCCACUUGAUACUGCUGUGACUGGAGUCCGGUAGGGGGAGCGUGGAAUUCCUGGUGUAGCGGUGAAAUGCGCAGAUAUCAGGAGGAACACCAGCGGCGAAGGCGGCGCUCUGGGCCGGUACUGACACUGAGGAGCGAAAGCGUGGGUAGCAAACAGG
rnacentral:rRNA from 1 species